AUGAGCAUGGGGCGCUACGCGGCCUCAACGGAUCCGGAGGCGGGCAGGGACGGGGACGGGGCCGUCCUGCUCCGCUCGCCCAGCGGGGCCACCGCGCGGGUGAGCCUGCACGGCGGGCAGGUCGUCUCCUGGAAGAACGACCGGGGAGAUGAGCUCCUCUUCACCAGCAGCAAGGUCAGCCUGCCCCUCCUCCUGCUCCCCACUCUUCAGUUCAGCUCUGUUCUACUCUGCUCUGCUGGGUUCUGUGCUGUGCUGGUUAUAAGUUUGAUGCAGUGCGAGAGAUUCAUUUCGGCAAUCAUGAAGCCACCAAAGGCGAUGCGUGGCGGCAUUCCGAUAUGCUUUCCACAGUUUGGAAACUGCGGGACCUUGGAGCGACAUGGAUUUGCGAGGAACAGGAUGUGGGCCCUCGACGAGGAGCAUCCAGGAUUAAGUCGUAGUGACAGUGGCAGCACAUCUUUUGUUGACCUUAUCCUAAAGCCAUCUGAAGAGGACCAGAAGAGCUGGCCACAUAGUUUCGAGUUCCGGCUGAGAAUCUCUCUCACAAAGGACGGUGACCUCUCACUGGUAUCGCGCAUCAGAAACGUCAAUGGCAAGCCAUUCAGUUUCUCAUUUGCCUACCACACAUACCUCUCAGUCUCAGACAUCAGCGAGGUGAGGAUAGAAGGCUUGGAGACACUCGAUUACCUGGACAAUCUCAGCCAGCGGGAACGCCAUACCGAACAAGGAGACGCCAUAACAUUCGAAUCAGAGGUGGACCGAGUGUAUGUCAGCUCGCCGAACGUGAUAGCGGUGCUCGACCAUGAGAAGAAGCGCACAUUCGUCAUAAGAAAGGACGGCCUCCCCGACACCGUGGUGUGGAACCCGUGGGAGAAGAAGGCCAAGACGAUGGCGGACUUCGGGGACGAGGAGUACAAGCAGACGCUGUGCGUGGACGCGGCGGCGGCGGAGCGGCCCAUCACGCUGAGGCCCGGGGAGGAGUGGACGGGGAGGCUGGAGCUCUCCGCCGUGCCGUCCACCAACUGCAGCGACCACCUCGAUCAGCCCGGCAUCAUGUGA
rnacentral:rRNA from 1 species